CAACUUUUUCCAAUGCAUUCUUAUAUUUGAUAUUUCAUUCAUUAGCACAUCUUGUCAUAAAGACCAUUUUCAUCAAAAUGCUUUGUUAAAGAGUAAGAAUGUGGUGGGAAAAAAAGUUAA
rnacentral:miRNA from 1 species